GNAUUUAUUGGGCGUAAAGCGAGCGCAGGCGGUUAGAUAAGUCUGAAGUUAAAAGCUGUGGCUUAACCAUAGUACGCUUUGGAAACUGUUUAACUUGAGUNCAAGAGGGGAGAGUGGAAUUCCAUGUGUAGCGGUGAAAUGCGUAGAUAUAUGGAGGAACACCGGUGGCGAAAGCGGCUCUCUGGCUUGUAACUGACGCUGAGGCUCGAAAGCGUGGGGGGCAAACAGGAUUAGAUACCCUGGUAGUNCACGCCGUAAACGAUGAGUGCUAGGUGUUAGACCCUUUCCGGGGUUUAGUGCCGCAGCUAACGCAUUAAGCACUCCGCCUGGGGAGUACGACCGCAAGGUUGAAACUCAAAGGAAUUGACGGGGGCCCGCACAAGCGGUGGAGCAUGUGGUUUAAUUCGAAGCUACGCGAAGAACCUUACCAGGUCUUGACAUCCCUCUGACCGCUCUAGAGAUAGAGUUUUCCUUCGGGACAGAGGUGACAGGUGGUGCAUGGUUGUCGUCAGCUCGUGUCGUGAGAUGUUGGGUUAAGUCCCGCAACGAGCGCAACCCCUAUUGUUAGUUGCCAUCAUUCAGUUGGGCACUCUAGCGAGACUGCCGGUAAUAAACCGGAGGAAGGUGGGGAUGACGUCAGAUCAUCAUGCCCCUUAUGACCUGGGCUACACACGUGCUACAAUGGCUGGUACAACGAGUCGCAAGCCGGUGACGGCAAGCUAAUCUCUUAAAGCCAGUCUCAGUUCGGAUUGUAGGCUGCAACUCGCCUACAUGAAGUCGGAAUCGCUAGUAAUCGCGGAUCAGCACGCCGCGGUGAAUACGUUCCCGGGUCUUGUACACACCGCCCGUCACACCACGAGAGUUUGUAACACCCGAAGUCGGUGAGGUAACCUUUUAGGAGCCAGCCGCCUAAG
rnacentral:rRNA from 1 species